rnacentral:rRNA from 1 species
UACGAAGGGGGCUAGCGUUGUUCGGAAUUACUGGGCGUAAAGCGCACGUAGGCGGAUUUGUAAGUCAGGGGUGAAAUCCCGGGGCUCAACCUCGGAACUGCCUUUGAUACUGCAAGUCUUGAGUCCGAUAGAGGUGAGUGGAAUUCCUAGUGUAGAGGUGAAAUUCGUAGAUAUUCGCAAGAACACCAGUGGCGAAGGCGGCUCACUGGCCCGGUACUGACGCUGAGGUGCGAAAGCGUGGGGAGCAAACAGG